rnacentral:rRNA from 1 species
CGUAGGUGGCAAGCGUUGUCCGGAUUUAUUGGGUUUAAAGGGUGCGUAGGCGGUGUCCUAAGUCAGUUGUGAAAUACGGCAGCUUAACUGUCGAGGUGCAAUUGAUACUGGGAUACUUGAGUACUGAGUGAGGUAUGCGGAAUGGACGGUGUAGCGGUGAAAUGCUUAGAUAUCGUCCAGAACACCGAUAGCGAACGGCAGCAUACUAAGGAGUAACUGACGCUGAGGCACGAAAGUGUGGGGAUCAAACAGGAUUAGAUACCCUGGUAGUCCACACUGUAAACGAUGAUCACUCGAUGUUGGCGAUACACGGCCAGCGUCUUAGCAAAAGCGAUAAGUGAUCCACCUGGGGAGUACGCCGGCAACGGUG